AGAACGAACGCUGGCGGCAGGCUUAACACAUGCAAGUCGAGCGCCCAGCAAUGGGAGCGGCGGACGGGUGAGUAACACGUGGGAACAUGCCCUUUGGUACGGGACAACUCAGGGAAACUUGAGCUAAAUACCGUAUGUGCCGGUAACGGGAAAGAUUUAUCGCCAAGGAAUGGCCCGCGUCCGAUUAGCUAGUUGGUGAGGUAAUGGCUCACCAAGGCACCGAUCGGUAGCUGGUUUGAGAGAACGACCAGCCACACUGGGACUGAGACACGGCCCAGACUCCUACGGGAGGCAGCAGUGGGGGAAUCUUGGACAAUGGGGGCAACCCUGAUCCAGCCAUGCCGCGUGAGUGAUGAAGGCCUUCGGGUUGUAAAACUCUUUCGACGGGGACGAUAAUGACGGUACCCGUAGAAGAAGCUCCGGCUAACUUCGUGCCAGCAGCCGC
rnacentral:rRNA from 1 species